AUUGAACGCUGGCGGAAUGCUUUACACAUGCAAGUCGAACGGCAGCACGGGGGCAACCCUGGUGGCGAGUGGCGAACGGGUGAGUAAUACAUCGGAACGUGCCCAGUCGUGGGGGAUAACGUAGCGAAAGUUACGCUAAUACCGCAUACGAUCUACGGAUGAAAGCGGGGGACCGUAAGGCCUCGCGCGAUUGGAGCGGCCGAUGUCUGAUUAGGUAGUUGGUGAGGUAAAGGCUCACCAAGCCGACGAUCUGUAGCUGGUCUGAGAGGACGACCCGCCACACUGGGACUGAGACACGGCCCAGACUCCUACGGGAGGCAGCAGUGGGGAAUUUUGGACAAUGGGCGCAAGCCUGAUCCAGCCAUUCCGCGUGCAGGACGAAGGCCUUCGGGUUGUAAACUGCUUUUGUACGGAACGGAAAGGCUCUGGUUAAUACCUGGGGCUCAUGACGGUACCGUAAGAACAAGCACCGGCUAACUACGUGCCAGCCGCCGCGGUAA
rnacentral:rRNA from 1 species